rnacentral:rRNA from 1 species
AACGCGAAGAACCUUACCUGGGUUUGAAUGUCACCUGUAAGCCUCAGAGAUGAGGUCCCCUCUUCGGAGGCAGGUGGCGAGGUGCUGCAUGGCUGUCGUCAGCUCGUGUCGUGAGAUGUUGGGUUAAGUCCCGCAACGAGCGCAACCCUUGUCCAUAGUUACUAACGGGUCAUGCUGAGAACUCUAUGGAGACUGCCGGUGAUAAACCGGAGGAAGGUGGGGAUGACGUCAAGUCCUCAUGGCCUUUAUGUCCAGGGCUACACACGUGCUACAAUGGGCGGCACAAAGAGUUGCGAUCCCGCGAGGGGGAGCUAAUCUCAAAAAACCGCUCUCAGUUCGGAUUGCAGUCUGCAACUCGACUGCAUGAAGCUGGAAUCGCUAGUAAUCGCGGAUCAGCACGCCGCGGUGAAUACGUUCCCGGGCCUUGUACACACCGUAGUAC